rnacentral:rRNA from 1 species
GUAGGGAGCAAGCGUUGUCCGGAAUCAUUGGGCGUAAAGCGCGCGUAGGCGGCCUUGUAAGUCCGUUGUGAAAGUCAAAGGCUCAACCUUUGAAAGCCGAUGGAUACUGCAAGGCUGGAGUCCGGAAGAGGCGAGUGGAAUUCCUGGUGUAGCGGUGGAAUGCGCAGAUAUCAGGAGGAACACCAAUAGCGAAGGCAGCUCGCUGGGACGGUACUGACGCUAAGGCGCGAAAGCGUGGGGAGCGAAC